CUUGGUAUGGAAACCCGCUGAGUGAGAACUUUCAAAUUCAGAGAAACCCUGGAAUUAAUAAAAAGGGGCAAUCCUGAGCCAAAUCCUAUUUUCUCCUAUUUUCCGAAAACAAAAGUUCGGAAAGUGAAAAAAGGGAUAGGUGCAGAGACUCAAUGGAAGCUGUUCUAACAAAUGGAGUUGGCUGCGGUAGUCGAGACGUCUUUUCAUCAAAAAUUCAUAAAGUCUAAGUAUUCAAGAUAAAGUGAAAUGAAGGAUAAACGUAUAUACAUACGUAGUAAAUAGUAUAUUAAAUGAGUAAUGACAGUUCGAAUGAAUCUAUAUUUUUUCUAUGAACAAAUAAAGAAUUGUUGUUAGUAGAUUCCGCGUUUAAGAAAGAAUCAACUAUUCAUUGAUCAAAAGAUUCACUCCAUAGUCUGAUCGAUCUUUUCACGAACUGAUUAAUCGGAUGAGAAUAAAGAUAGAGUCCCAUUCUACAUGUCAAUGCUGGCAACAAUGAAAUUUAUAGUUAAGAGGAAAAUCCGUCGACUUUUAAAAUCGUNNNNNNUCAAGUCCCUCUAUCCCCAAAUAGACUAUUUGACUCUCUAACUAUCUAUUUACCUAUCCCCUUUUUGUUAUCGGUUCAAAAUGCCUUAUCCAUCCGCUCUAUUCUCUUAGAAGUGAUCGGUGCAAGAAUGUCCGUUUCUUAUCACAUCUAUAUGAUAUACAUACAAAUACAAAGGAGCGUGUUUGAGCAAGAAAUCCCUAUUUGAUUUGAAUGAUUUACAAUCUAGAUAAUUACCCAUACUGCAAUUCCCAAAGUCCUCUUUUUUAAGAUACAAGCCAAACAAUUUCCGUACCUAAAUAAAACUUCGGAAUUCCUUUCCUUCUUUUAAUUGACACAGCCUGCAUUUUCGAGUAAAAUGAGGAUGCUACAUUGCGACGGGUCGGGAUAGCUCAGCUGGUAGAGCAGAGGACUGAAAAUCCUCGUGUCACCAGUUC
rnacentral:misc_RNA from 1 species